AUCGGUAUGCAAUUUUCCCAUUCACAAGUGAAAGUACCUGCAACUCUUAUCAGCUUAAUCUCUGAUAUGUCCUCGAUGUGAGGACUGUAUGUUAGCUUGAUUUUUGAAAUGAGGGGGUCAGAACAGAAGCUUGCUUUGUCUGCCCCAUGCAUCGACCUGGUAUUGCACUGUCUCCAGGAACGAAAAAAAAAAA
ensembl:snRNA U2 U2 spliceosomal RNA